GACGAACGCUGGCGGCGUGCUUAACACAUGCAAGUCGAGCGGUAAGGCCCUUUCGGGGGUACACGAGCGGCGAACGGGUGAGUAACACGUGGGUGACCUGCCCUUAGCUCUGGGAUAAGCCUGGGAAACUGGGUCUAAUACCGGAUAUGACUCCAUGACGCAUGUUGUGGGGUGGAAAGCCUUGUGCGGCUAGGGGAUGGGCCCGCGGCCUAUCAGCUUGUUGGUGGGGUGAUGGCCACCAAGGCGACGACGGGUAGCCGGCCUGAGAGGGCGACCGGCCACACUGGGACUGAGACACGGCCCAGACUCCUACGGGAGGCAGCAGUGGGGAAUCUUGCGCAAUGGGCGAAAGCCUGACGCAGCGGCGCCGCGUGGGGAUGACGGCCUCGG
rnacentral:rRNA from 1 species